AUUGAACGUUGGCGGCAUGCCUUACACAUGCAAGUCGAACGGCAGCAUGGAGAGCUUGCUCUCUGAUGGCGAGUGGCGAACGGGUGAGUAAUGCAUCGGAACGUACCGUGUAAUGGGGGAUAACGUAGCGAAAGUUACGCUAAUACCGCAUACGACCUGAGGGUGAAAGCAGGGGAUCGCAAGACCUUGCGUUAUACGAGCGGCCGAUGUCAGAUUAGCUAGUUGGUGAGGUAAAGGCUCACCAAGGCGACGAUCUGUAGCGGGUCUGAGAGGAUGAUCCGCCACACUGGGACUGAGACACGGCCCAGACUCCUACGGGAGGCAGCAGUGGGGAAUUUUGGACAAUGGGGGCAACCCUGAUCCAGCCAUGCCGCGUGAGUGAAGAGGGCCUUCGGGUUGUAAAGCUCUUUCGGCCGGGAAGAAAUCGCACAGGCUAAUACUCUGUGUGGAUGACGGUACCGGCAUAAGAAGCACCGGCUAACUACGUGCCAGCCGCCGCAGUAA
rnacentral:rRNA from 1 species